rnacentral:tRNA from 1 species
GCCGGGGUGGCGGAAUUGGUAGACGCACAGGACUUAAAAUCCUGAGGGUCGCAAGGCCCGUGCCGGUUCAAGUCCGGCCCUCGGUA